rnacentral:misc_RNA from 1 species
AGCAGCAGCAGCAGCAGCAAAACCACCACUACCAGUAGCAGAGAGUUGUUUUCUUGAAGUUUCUUCUUUGAUGGAGUUAUUGUUAGAAGGCAGAGAAGGGCUUUCUUGGUUUGUUUCUUUAUCCAUCUCUGUCCAUGCUAAACAAAAAAUUUACCUGUGUUUAGCUGCUAACAAGUGUACAGCAUGAGAGAAGUUUAAGCACACAAGGCAGGAGAGAAAGAGAAAGAGAUGGAGAGAGAGAGAAACCACUAGCAUUAGAGAGGAAAAAGAAAGGUGAAGACAAGUGGGGAACCAAAGGGGAAGAGAGAGAACCACUAGCAUUAGAGAGAAAGGGUAAGUGGGCAACCAUCCAAGAAAGUGGUUCACUUUGUCAAAUGAGUUAAUGAUAGUAACCUCUUAACUUUAUUUUUCUUGCACUUUUUCUUAAGAAUAUGGUGUUAUCUUAUUGUGGGUAUGUUGGUUUCUCUUGCUGUGGUUGGGUUAUUUUGGCUGUUAGCGUUGAUAUGAAGCCAACCAAUAAAUCCACCCUAAUUGAGGAGGGAGAAGGAGAGGAAGGUGGUAGCGGUGGUGGUGGUGGUGGGUCACUCACGUGGGUCUGUCACCCACUCUAUCCCAUCAUCAAUUCUCCAAUCACAUUCACCACCACCACCUCCACCACCUUAUUUCCUCCACCACUAGUAGCAAUAUUAUGCUACGGUCACUUGACCUUAGACAGUCCUUUUGCA